rnacentral:ribozyme from 1 species
UUCGCAGCAACUCCUAUCCCUACCUCCUCGCGGUACUGGCCAGAGUACGAGUAACCUUAGGGAAGAUCCCAACCCCGGUGGGAACUUUGGUCGUAUGCCAACAAGGAAGG